rnacentral:SRP_RNA from 1 species
GCCAGGCGUGGUGGCGCACGCCUGUAAUCCCAGCACUCGGGAGGCUGAGGCAGGAGGAUCACUGUGAGUCGAGACCAGCCUGGGCUACAUAGUGAGUUCCAGGUCAGUCUCAACUACAUAGUGAGAUCCUGUCUCAA